GACGAACGCUGGCGGCGUGCUUAACACAUGCAAGUCGAACGGAAAGGCCCUGCUUUUGUGGGGUGCUCGAGUGGCGAACGGGUGAGUAACACGUGAGUAACCUGCCCUUGACUUUGGGAUAACUUCAGGAAACUGGGGCUAAUACCGGAUAGGAGCUCCUGCUGCAUGGUGGGGGUUGGAAAGUUUCGGCGGUUGGGGGUGGACUCGCGGCUUAUCAGCUUGUGGGUGGGGUAGUGGCUUACCAAGGCUUUGACGGGUGGCCGGCCUGAGAGGGUGACCGGCCACAUUGGGACUGAGAUACGGCCCAGACUCCUACGGGAGGCAGCAGUGGGGAAUAUUGCACAAUGGGCGGAAGCCUGAUGCAGCAACGCCGCGUGCGGGAUGACGGCCUUCGGGUUGUAAACCGCUUUCGCCUGUGACGAAGCGUGAGUGACGGUAAUGGGUAAAGAAGCACCGGCUAACUACGUG
rnacentral:rRNA from 1 species